CUGAACACUGGUUACUGGUUAGGGGUGUGUUUGUCUGAACACUGGUUACUGGUUAGGGGUGUGUUUGUCUGAACACUGGUUACUGGUUAGGGGUGUGUUUGUCUGAACACUGGUUACUGGUUAGGGGUGUGUUUGUCUGAACACUGGUUAGGGGUGUGUUUGUCUGAACACUGGUUACUGGUUAGGGGUGUGUUUGUCUGAACACUGGUUAGGGGUGUGUUUGUCUGAACACUGGUUACUGGUUAGGGGUGUGUUUGUCUGAACACUGGUUACUGGUUAGGGGUGUGUUUGUCUGAACACUGGUUACUGGUUAGGGGUGUGUUUGUCUGAACACUGGUUAGGGGUGUGUUUGUCUGAACACUGGUUACUGGUUAGGGGUGUGUUUGUCUGAACACUGGUUACUGGUUAGGGGUGUGUUUGUCUGAACACUGGUUAGGGGUGUGUUUGUCUGAACACUGGUUACUGGUUAGGGGUGUGUUUGUCUGAACACUGGUUACUGGUUAGGGGUGUGUUUGUCUGAACACUGGUUACUGGUUAGGGGUGUGUUUGUCUGAACACUGGUUACUGGUUAGGGGUGUGUUUGUCUGAACACUGGUUAGGGGUGUGUUUGUCUGAACACUGGUUAGGGGUGUGUUUGUCUGAACACUGGUUACUGGUUAGGGGUGUGUUUGUCUGAACACUGGUUACUGGUUAGGGGUGUGUUUGUCUGAACACUGGUUACUGGUUAGGGGUGUGUUUGUCUGAACACUGGUUACUGGUUAGGGGUGUGUUUGUCUGAACACUGGUUACUGGUUAGGGGUGUGUUUGUCUGAACACUGGUUACUGGUUAGGGGUGUGUUUGUCUGAACACUGGUUACUGGUUAGGGGUGUGUUUGUCUGAACACUGGUUACUGGUUAGGGGUGUGUUUGUCUGAACACUGGUUACUGGUUAGGGGUGUGUUUGUCUGAACACUGGUUAGGGGUGUGUUUGUCUGAACACUGGUUACUGGUUAGGGGUGUGUUUGUCUGAACACUGGUUACUGGUUAAGGGUGUGUUUGUCUGAACACUGGUUACUGGUUAGGGGUGUGUUUGUCUGAACACUGGUUACUGGUUAGGGGUGUGUUUGUCUUUAGUGUGUGUGUGUGUGUGUGUGUGUGUGUGUGUGUGUGUGUGUGUGUGUGUGUGUGUGUGUGUGUGUGUGUGUGUGUGUGUGUGUGUGUGUGUGUGUGUGUGUGUUCGACCCACUGAAGUACCCCCUCUCUCUUUUAAAUGCCAUAUUAUGUCUAUAUACAGUGUUGUAACAAUGUACAAAUAGUUAAAGUACAAAAAGCAUAAAUAUGGCUUGUAUUUACAAUGGUGUUUGUUCUUCACUGGUUGACCUUUGCUUGUGGCAACAGGUCACACAUCUUGCCGCUGAGAUGGCACACUGUGGUAUUUCACCCAGUAGAUAUGGGAGUUUAUUGGGUUUGGUUUCUAAUUCUGUCUGUCUUUGUCUGUCUGUCUGUCUGUCUGUCUGUCUGUCUGUCUGUCUGUCUGUCUGUGUCUCUCUCUCUCUGUCUGUCUGUCUGUGUCUCUCUCUGUCUCUCUCUCUGUCUGUCUGUCUGUCUGUGUCUCUCUCUGUCUCUCUCUCU